rnacentral:sRNA from 1 species
AUGGUUAAUACAGCCGUAAUGCAACACCACUCCAACUCUUUCGAUCGUCCAUCCAUCAUCAAAUUGAGAAUCUCUCCGCCUUGUCUCUCUUGUCCUAUCGGCACCGAUGCCGUCUGACACCCAGUUAUUAGCUUCCCGCAAGGACAUGUGAAAAUCGCAAACCGCAACUCAGCAGGGAUGUUUGAUGUGAUGAUCUGGGAGCGGGUCGCUAAGGACCGAAAGGCAGAGUGAGAGAUGUGGUUGAAUAAAGAGAUGAAUUUGGAGAUGAGUGAAUGUUCUGAGGGCAGGACGAGCAAAUUGAUGAGUAGACGAUAACGGGGGUGAACAUAUUGGCAACCAUAUAAAAAAGAAUUAGCGAGAGGACUGGCCCAAAGGAAAAUGUCUUCGGUCGUCUAUACCUUCCCGAAAACGACUGUCCCCGCCCAACAGCGUUAUCGAACUCAGUUUCUUCCAACAUCGCCAUCUAGUUUGAUUGCCUUCAUAAGUCUACCUCCUAAGUUACGUCAUGAUGCUCUCGAGCCAUAACAGCAAUGGGAUUAUAUACUGAAAGUUUGGAACAUUGCAUCUAACACUCCGUCAUCAAAGUAAUGGGAUACAGUGUCUCAUAUUUUUAUCUAUUGUCAUG